CUGCGCCGACUUCGUUUGCGUUCAGUUGAGCCUCGGAAAACGGAUGGGGCAGCCAUGCGUUGCGCGCCCCCCGAGGAACGGGUAGCGUUCGACUAGCGGCUCCAAGAACUCGCCCGUGAAAGGGCUCAACGUCGGCACGCCGAUCCAGCGGUAGGAGCUGCCCAAGCCCAGGCAAUCCAACAGCAACGAGAUGAUCUCCAGCUGAGGGAGCUGGAGGCCGAUGCAAUCCGGCGCCGUCACCUGUGGGUUACAUAACAGUGACGAAGAUCAGGUGCUCGCUGGACAAGCUUCACUUACCUCCAUUUUCCGACAAAACAGGCUUGAGCAGCUUUCAACUUUCCAAGCGAUCGGUUUCUUGUGCUCCGACAGAAAUGAAGUUGUCAUUCUUACUUUGCGGAUUCAUCCUGAUAGCUUCUGUAUAUGACAUCGAUGCCUGCAAGAGAUGUUGUGGUGUGUGCCCAGUGCCGAGGUGCGUACAAAACAGAAGAAAUGACAAACCUUUGACAAAGCCAAUUCGUCAUUACUUCAAAGAAAAUGACAAGUGUACGGAGGUACAAACAAGCGGCUGCAAGGGAAAGUUCUAUCCUACCAAAGAUGCAUGUCAAAAAUGCUGCAAGUCGUAAAAUAAAAUCCUGUUCCUUGAAA